rnacentral:rRNA from 1 species
GACGAACGCUGGCGGCGUGCUUAACACAUGCAAGUCGAACGGAAAGGCCCUGCUUUUGUGGGGUGCUCGAGUGGCGAACGGGUGAGUAACACGUGAGUAACCUGCCCUUGACUUUGGGAUAACUUCAGGAAACUGGGGCUAAUACCGGAUAGGAGCUCCUGCUGCAUGGUGGGGGUUGGAAAGUUUCGGCGGUUGGGGAUGGACUCGCGGCUUAUCAGCUUGUUGGUGGGGUAGUGGCUUACCAAGGCUUUGACGGGUAGCCGGCCUGAGAGGGUGACCGGCCACAUGGGGACUGAGAGACGGCGCAGACGCCUACGGGAGGCAGCAGGGGGGAAUAUUGCACAAUGGGCGGAAGCCUGAUGCAGCAACGCCGCGUGCGGGAUGACGGCCUUCGGGUUGUAAACCGCUUGCGCCUGUGACGAAGCGUGAGUGACGGUAAUGGGUAAAGAAGCACCGGCUAACUACGUG